AUUUAACACUGGCGGCAGGCCUAACACAUGCAAGUCGAACGAUUGGCGGACGGAUGAGUCAUGUCGGGGAACCUGCCUGAUGGAGGGGGAUACCUACUGGAAACGGUAGCUAAUACCGCCUACCAUCGGAUGUUCCCAGCUGGGCUUAGCUAGUAGGUGGGUGAAAUGCUGACCUCGUCGACGAUCCCUAGCUGGUCUGUGAGGAUGACCGUCCACACUGGAACUGAGACAAUGUCCAGACGCAGACGGGAGGAAGCAGUGUGGAAUAAGGCACAAGGGGAGCAAGCAUGAUGCAGCAAGGCGGCGUGUAUGAAGAAGGCCGUAGGGUUGUAAAGUACUUUCAGCGGGGAGGCGUUACCCGCAGAAGAAGCACCGGCUAACACCGUGCCAGCGGCCGCGGUAAUAC
rnacentral:rRNA from 1 species